rnacentral:rRNA from 1 species
GAGACUCUGUGCGCGUGCAUAUCAAUAAGCGGAGGAAAAGAAACUAACAAGGAUUCCCCUAGUAACGGCGAGUGAAGCGGGAAGAGCUCAAAUUUGAAAUCUUAAAGGGUUUCCCUUUACGAAUUGUAGUUUAAAGAAGUGUUUUCUGUUGGAGUUUCGGUAAAAGUUCUUUGGAAUAGGACAUCAUAGAGGGUGAGAAUCCCGUAUUUGAUCCGUUACUUUCCAGCUGUGUGAUACACUUUCAAAGAGUCGGAUUGUUUGGGAAUGCAGUCCAAAAUGGGUGGUAAAUUUCAUCUAAAGCUAAAUAUUGGCGAGAGACCGAUAGCGAACAAGUACCGUGAGGGAAAGAUGAAAAGAACUUUGAAAAGAGAGUUAAACAGUACGUGAAAUUGUCAAAAGGGAAGCGUUUGACACCAGUGUUGUUUAGUUGAAAAUCAAUUCAAUAAUUUUUGAUUUUGAGUAGUAUUGACUUCAUCAGCUUGCUGCUUUCUUUUCCGAAAUUAUUGAAUGCACUUUUCAGUUAACAAGUCGACAUCAAUUUCUUUUGUUGUAAAAGGGUAAGAGGAAGGUGGCUUACGCUUCGGCGUAAGUGUUUAUAGCCUUUUACCUCUGCAAUCGGAGAGAUUGAGGACAGCAGCGUAGACUCCUUCGGGGGUUAGAUACACUUGUGCUAAGCUAUAGCCUUGUAUAGACAACUUGUUGACUAUGCUCAGUCAUGUAGCUUACUCGCUUGUGCUAUUUUACCUACGCUUAGGAUGUUGACAGCAGUAUAGACUGU